rnacentral:rRNA from 1 species
AGAGAAUACCGCAUAAGAUUGCAGUUUCGCAUGAAGAAGCAAUUAAAGGAGCAAUCCGCUACAAGAUGGGCCCGCGGCGCAUUAGCUAGUUGGUGAGGUAACGGCUCACCAAGGCGACGAUGCGUAGCCGACCUGAGAGGGUGAUCGGCCACAUUGGGACUGAGACACGGCCCAGACUCCUACGGGAGGCAGCAGUGGGGAAUAUUGCACAAUGGGGGAAACCCUGAUGCAGCAACGCCGCGUGAGUGAUGAAGGUUUUCGGAUUGUAAAGCUCUGUCUUCAGGGACGAUAAUGACGGUACCUGAGGAGGAAGCCACGGCUAACUACGUGCCAGCAGCCGCGGUAAUACGUAGGUGGCGAGCGUUGUCCGGAUUUACUGGGCGUAAAGGGAGCGUAGGCGGAUUUUUAAGUGAGAUGUGAAAUACCCGGGCUCAACUUGGGUGCUGCAUUUCAAACUGGAAGUCUAGAGUGCAGGAGAGGAAAGUGGAAUUCCUAGUGUAGCGGUGAAAUGCGUA